rnacentral:rRNA from 1 species
CCUACGGGCGGCUGCAGUGGGGAAUAUUGCACAAUGGGGGGAACCCUGAUGCAGCGACGCCGCGUGGGUGAAGGAGCGUUUCGGCGCGUAAAGCCCUAUCGGCAGGGAAGAAGGAGGACGGUACCUGACUAAGAAGCCCCGGCUAACUACGUGCCAGCAGCCGCGGGAAUACGUAGGGGGCAAGCGUUAUCCGGAUUUACUGGGUGUAAAGGGGGCGCAGACGGCAGCGCAAGCCAGGAGUGAAAGCCCGGGGCCCAACCCCGGGACUGCUCUUGGAACUGCGCGGCUGGAGUACAGGAGGGGCAGGCGGAAUUCCUGGUGUAGCGGUGAGAUGCGUAGAUAUCAGGAGGAACACCGGUGGCGAAGGCGGCCUGCUGGACUGCGACUGACGUUGAGGCCCGAAAGCGUGGGGAGCAAACAGGAUUAGAUACCCCUGUAGUC